AGAGCGAACGCUGGCGGCAGGCCUAACACAUGCAAGUCGAGCGCUCGUAGCAAUACGAGAGCGGCAGACGGGAGAGUAACACGUGGGAACGUACCCUUUGGUUCGGAACAACACAGGGAAACUUGUGCUAAUACCGAAUAAGCCCUUACGGGGAAAGAUUUAUCGCCAAAGGAUCGGCCCGCGUCUGAUUAGCUAGUUGGUGGGGUAACGGCUCACCAAGGCGACGAUCAGUAGCUGGUCUGAGAGGAUGACCAGCCUCAUUGGGACUGAGACACGGCCCAAACUCCUACGGGAGGCAGCAGUGGGAAUAUGACAAUGGCGCAAGCCUGAUCCAGCCAUGCCGCGUGGAUGAUGAAGGCCUUAGGGUUGUAAAGUCCUUUUAACGGGAAGAUAAUGACGGUACCGUAGAAUAAGCCCGGCUAACUCGUGCCAGCAGCCGC
rnacentral:rRNA from 1 species